rnacentral:rRNA from 1 species
AAUGAACGCUGGCGGCAUGCCUAACACAUGCAAGUCGAGCGAACACACCAGGUCCUUGCCCCUUUGGUGUCAGCCGCGUACGGGUGACUACCACGUGUGCAACCUACCUAUAAGACUGGGAUAACUACGGUAGACCGUAGCUAAUACCGGAUAAUAUUUCGAACCGCGUGGUUCCAGAGUGAAAGAUGGCAUUGCGAUCACUGAUAGAUUGAGCUGCGGCGUAUUAGCUAGUUGGUAAGGUAAAGGCUUACCAACGCAUCGAUCCGUAGCCGACCUGAGAGGGAGAUCGGCCACCCUGGAAAUGAGGACGGGUCCCGACUCCUACGGGAGGCAGCAGUAGGGAAUCUUCCGCAAUGGGCGAAAGCCUUACGGAGGAACGCCGCGUGAGUGAUGAAGGUCUUCGGAUCGUAAAACUCUGUUAUUAGGGAAGAAAAAACGCGUAUGUAACUGUGCACGUCCUGACGGUACCUGAACAGAAAGCCACGGCUAACUACGUG